GUGGAGAUAAAAUCUGGACGAGCGCUCGCGUUGCAGCUCUUUGGUGACGGUCAGCAGAGGAGAAGGUAUUCAGAUCCGUUACUGAGGUGUGGAGCUGGAGCUCGUGCUUCAAGGGUUUCCCCGGGACGGCGCUGUCCUAAUGAUUUAGACGGCUCUCUGCCCUCGUCUCCCUCCUUCAGCAGAGCGGGAGGACUCGCCGAGAAGCGACGCCGCCGACGCCGGGGGAAAGUGAACAGCGUUCAUGCUUAAUCCCCCACAAAGGUCAACAAGGUUCAACGUGCCGGCGAAUAAAAAAGUAGAACGCAAGACUUCAAGGUCGUAGUUAAGUGCAGACGGUGGAACAAGGAUUCAGAUAUUUUAAUCAGAAGGGCUAAAUUCCAACCGCAGGGCAUAUCUUUUAGUUCUCUAAACAGCACUGAUCAGUGUCGCGGAGCCAGUUGGUCCCGUCGAGGGAUCAAUUAAGUUGUGGUACAAACUCAUUGACCUUGAUGGAAAUAACAAGAUAAAGUCUAAAGAACAGAGCAGUCGACAGUGGAGCAGAAUACUAAAGUGGCAUAAAAUGGGAACU
ensembl:lncRNA